rnacentral:pre_miRNA from 1 species
AGGGUUUAUAUGUGAGGGAGUAAGUAAUAGAGAGAGGGGGUCUGGUGUUGUUGACAGAAGAUAGAGAGCACAUAAAGUAACGUGCAGUGGGCGUUUGCAUUUUAUUUUGUAUGUGCUCUCUAGCCUUCUGUCAUCACCUGCUCACCAUUCCCACCCAUCUUACUUCUCCAACAUAUUUCUAAUCCU